rnacentral:lncRNA from 1 species
UUUCAGGCGUAUGGAACUCCUAGCUACUGGGUGCAACGUUUUUUCACAGAAUCAAGUGGAGCAAUUCUUCUUAAUGCAACACUGCAAAAAGAUUCCUCUAAUUCCCUUGUUGCAUCUGCAAUUACUUGGAAAAAUUCAGAGGCUGGUCAAACCUACAUAAGGAUAAAGGUCUGUAACAUGGAGAUCAUGACUUUUCUCUCCAACUGUUUUCCCAUGGCUACUUUUUGUUCAUUUUUCCUUUUGCCUAACAAGAAGUCCAUGUGCUUCAAGAUCUCAUUUGUUAUUAGGGCCUGUGAUGCUUAUCAAUCAACCCACAUAAUAGGUAUCGAUAUAGAUACGUUUAAAACAUAUUUAAAAAAGGAUUAUUGCUUGAUUUCCCUGAUAGGCAUGCAUUAAAUGACUGCAUUGUUUGCAUGUAUUUUCACAUACUUGUUUUUGCAUAUAUAUUGACCUUAUGUUUCUUAUGGCUAUUUGGCUCUCAGAUGGAAUCGAUAAUAAUGAUUUAACAGAUGAUUUCUCAUUACCAAAAGAUUGAAGUAAAGUUGGUAGCUUAAAUUUUGAACUUGGCUACAUCAAAAUAACCUUAGAGAACACAAAAAGCUACUUCUCAAGUUAAAAAAGAAUGCAAGUUAGGCAUUCUUGGAUCAAACCUAACAUAAAUUAAAAUCCUUAAAUCUAAAAAGUCUCUGCCACUUGCUUAAUUCUAGCAUCAUCUUAUUAAUUGAAAAGAUAUUGAUUGCCUUUUAUUUUUUGGCAUAUAUUCCUCUUACAUUCAAAUAUAUUAUAAUGAAUCCAGGUUGUAAACUUUGGGAGCAAUUCAGUCAACCUCCAAAUUUCUGUUGAUGGAUUGGAUCCAAAUUCUGUAAAGCUGUCUGGAUCAACAAAGACCACUCUCACAUCUGCUAAUCUGAUGGAUGAGAAUUCCUUCA